rnacentral:rRNA from 1 species
UACGGAGGGUGCGAGCGUUGUUCGGAAUUACUGGGCGUAAAGCGCGUGUAGGCGGCUUCUUAAGUUCGGUGUGAAAGCCCGGGGCUCACCCCCGGAAGGGCACUGGAUACUGAGAAGCUUGAGUACCGGAGAGGAGGGUGGAAUUCCUGGUGUAGCGGUGAAAUGCGUAGAUAUCAGGAGGAACACCGGUGGCGAAGGCGGCCCUCUGGACGGCUACUGACGCUGAGACGCGAAAGCGUGGGGAGCAAACAGG